rnacentral:rRNA from 1 species
UACGAAGGGGGCUAGCGUUGUUCGGAAUUACUGGGCGUAAAGCGCGCGCAGGCGGUCCUUCAAGUCAGAGGUGAAAGCCCAGAGCUCAACUCUGGAACGGCCUUUGAGACUAGAGGACUUGGGUACGGGAGAGGUGAGUGGAAUUCCGAGUGUAGAGGUGAAAUGCGCAGAUAUCAGGAAGAACACCCGUGGCUAAGGCGGCUCUCUAGUACGGUACUGACGCUGAGACGCGAAAGCGUGGGGAGCGAACAGG